rnacentral:lncRNA from 1 species
AUUGGUUCUUACGCCCAAACAAACCCCAUAAGGGAGGAGUUGAACCGUAUUGGCGGCCAUAUUGAAUCUUAUCUAUUGACAGUUGUGUCGCUAAUAGGCUCAAAAACAUUAAGACAAGUUAUUUGGAUGCGCACUGUAACUUUUCCUUUUUCUUUUUUAUUUUUACCUUGAACAAUGUCAUAACUGGAAGCCGUUUCUUGUAAAAACAAGUCAUGGAUGAAGAUGAACGGCAAAGGAAGUUAGAAGCGGGCAGAGCCAAGCUUGCUAGCUUCAGACAGAAGCGGGCAAAAAGCAACGCGGGGGAGGCGAAAAAGACGCAGAAGAGGAAGGGUCCGACUGACCCGAAGAAUGACGGCCCAACGCAAGACUGUCACGUAGAGCCAACUCCUCCAUCAGGAAGUGCCACUGAAACCAAUCACAAGGAGGCCUUAAAGGUAGAUGAUUCAGAUGUUCAGGGUGAUGAGUCAAGUAAACAUCCUCCCACUCCAGAGCGCUGUCCAUCUCCUGUGGAAGUUUUGGGAGAGGAGGAGCUAGCUGUACUGACUGGCAAAGAACAGCUCAAGGUAUAAUUUUUUUAAACAAAAAUUGGCAAUAUUUUUGUCUAUAAUAUUGCAUGAUUCCAUUAAAUUUAGAUUCAAGUAAGUCAUUCUAGUCUAAAAGUGGGAACA